GACGAAGGGGGCUAGCGUUGUUCGGAAUUACUGGGCGUAAAGCGCGUGUAGGCGGUUGUCCAAGUUGGAUGUGAAAGCCUUGAGCUUAACUCAAGAAAUGCAUUCAGGACUGGAUGACUAGAGGACCGGAGAGGAUAGUGGAAUUCCCAGUGUAGUGGUGAAAUACGUAGAGAUUGGGAAGAACACCAGUGGCGAAGGCGGCUAUCUGGACGGUUUCUGACACUAAGACUCGAAAGCGUGGGGAGCAAACAGG
rnacentral:rRNA from 1 species